rnacentral:rRNA from 1 species
GGGUUGUGAGGUUAAGCGACUAAGCGUACACGGUGGAUGCCCUGGCAGUCAGAGGCGAUGAAGGACGUGCUAAUCUGCGAUAAGCGUCGGUAAGGUGAUAUGAACCGUUAUAACCGGCGAUUUCCGAAUGGGGAAACCCAGUGUGUUUCGACACACUAUCAUUGCGUGAAUACAUAGCGUAAUGAAGCGAACCGGGGGAACUGAAACAUCUAAGUACCCCGAGGAAAAGAAAUCAACCGAGAUUCCCCCAGUAGCGGCGAGCGAACGGGGAGCAGCCCAGAGUCUGAAUCAGCUUGUGUGUUAGUGGAACGGUCUGGAAAGUCCGACGGUACAGGGUGAUAGUCCCGUACACCAAAAUGCACAGGUUGUGAACUCGAAGAGUAGGGCGGGACACGUGGUAUCCUGUCUGAAUAUGGGGGGACCAUCCUCCAAGGCUAAAUACUCCUGACUGACCGAUAGUGAACCAGUACCGUGAGGGAAAGGCGAAAAGAACCCCGGCGAGGGGAGUGAAAAAGAACCUGAAACCGUGUACGUACAAGCAGUGGGAGCCUCUUUAUGGGGUGACUGCGUACCUUUUGUAUAAUGGGUCAGCGACUUAUAUUCUGUAGCAAGGUUAACCGUAUAGGGGAGCCGAAGGGAAACCGAGUCUUAACUGGGCGUUAAGUUGCAGGGUAUAGACCCGAAACCCGGUGAUCUAGCCAUGGGCAGGUUGAAGGUUGGGUAACACUAACUGGAGGACCGAACCGACUAAUGUUGAAAAAUUAGCGGAUGACUUGUGGCUGGGGGUGAAAGGCCAAUCAAACCGGGAGAUAGCUGGUUCUCCCCGAAAGCUAUUUAGGUAGCGCCUCGUGAACUCAUCUUCGGGGGUAGAGCACUGUUUCGGCUAGGGGGUCAUCCCGACUUACCAACCCGAUGCAAACUGCGAAUACCGAAGAAUGUUAUCACGGGAGACACACGGCGGGUGCUAACGUCCGUCGUGAAGAGGGAAACAACCCAGACCGCCAGCUAAGGUCCCAAAGUCAUGGUUAAGUGGGAAACGAUGUGGGAAGGCACAGACAGCCAGGAUGUUGGCUUAGAAGCAGCCAUCAUUUAAAGAAAGCGUAAUAGCUCACUGGUCGAGUCGGCCUGCGCGGAAGAUGUAACGGGGCUAAACCAUGCACCGAAGCUGCGGCAGCGACACUAUGUGUUGUUGGGUAGGGGAGCGUUCUGUAAGCCGUUGAAGGUGGCCUGUGAGGGUUGCUGGAGGUAUCAGAAGUGCGAAUGCUGACAUAAGUAACGAUAAUGCGGGUGAAAAACCCGCACGCCGGAAGACCAAGGGUUCCUGUCCAACGUUAAUCGGGGCAGGGUGAGUCGACCCCUAAGGCGAGGCCGAAAGGCGUAGUCGAUGGGAAACAGGUUAAUAUUCCUGUACUUGGUGUUACUGCGAAGGGGGGACGGAGAAGGCUAUGUUAGCCGGGCGACGGUUGUCCCGGUUUAAGCAUGUAGGCGGAGGUUCCAGGUAAAUCCGGUACCUUUUAACGCUGAGGUGUGAUGACGAGGCACUACGGUGCUGAAGUAACAAAUGCCCUGCUUCCAGGAAAAGCCUCUAAGCAUCAGGUAACACGAAAUCGUACCCCAAACCGACACAGGUGGUCAGGUAGAGAAUACCAAGGCGCUUGAGAGAACUCGGGUGAAGGAACUAGGCAAAAUGGUGCCGUAACUUCGGGAGAAGGCACGCUGAUAUGUAGGUGAAGUGAUUUACUCAUGGAGCUGAAAUCAGUCGAAGAUACCAGCUGGCUGCAACUGUUUAUUAAAAACACAGCACUGUGCAAACACGAAAGUGGACGUAUACGGUGUGACGCCUGCCCGGUGCCGGAAGGUUAAUUGAUGGGGUUAUCCGUAAGGAGAAGCUCUUGAUCGAAGCCCCGGUAAACGGCGGCCGUAACUAUAACGGUCCUAAGGUAGCGAAAUUCCUUGUCGGGUAAGUUCCGACCUGCACGAAUGGCGUAAUGAUGGCCAGGCUGUCUCCACCCGAGACUCAGUGAAAUUGAACUCGCUGUGAAGAUGCAGUGUACCCGCGGCAAGACGGAAAGACCCCGUGAACCUUUACUAUAGCUUGACACUGAACACUGGUCCUUGAUGUGUAGGAUAGGUGGGAGGCUUUGAAGUGUGGACGCCAGUCUGCAUGGAGCCAUCCUUGAAAUACCACCCUUUAAUGGCUGGUGUUCUAACGUGGACCCGUGAUCCGGGUUGCGGACAGUGUCUGGUGGGUAGUUUGACUGGGGCGGUCUCCUCCUAAAGAGUAACGGAGGAGCACGAAGGUUAGCUAAUCCUGGUCGGACAUCAGGAGGUUAGUGCAAAGGCAUAAGCUAGCUUGACUGCGAGAGUGACGGCUCGAGCAGGUGCGAAAGCAGGUCUUAGUGAUCCGGUGGUUCUGAAUGGAAGGGCCAUCGCUCAACGGAUAAAAGGUACUCCGGGGAUAACAGGCUGAUACCGCCCAAGAGUUCAUAUCGACGGCGGUGUUUGGCACCUCGAUGUCGGCUCAUCACAUCCUGGGGCUGAAGUAGGUCCCAAGGGUAUGGCUGUUCGCCAUUUAAAGUGGUACGCGAGCUGGGUUUAGAACGUCGUGAGACAGUUCGGUCCCUAUCUGCCGUGGGCGCUGGAGAAUUGAGGGGGGCUGCUCCUAGUACGAGAGGACCGGAGUGGACGCAUCACUGGUGUUCGGGUUGUCAUGCCAAUGGCAUUGCCCGGUAGCUAAAUGCGGAAGAGAUAAGUGCUGAAAGCAUCUAAGCACGAAACUUGCCCCGAGAUGAGUUCUCCCUGAGACUUUAAGUCUCCUGAAGGAACGUUGAAGACGACGACGUUGAUAGGUCGGGUGUGUAAGUGUAGCGAUACAUUGAGCUAACCGAUACUAAUGAACCGUGAGGCUUAACCUUACAACGCCGAAG